AGCUAAGUUCACGUGAUAGCGUAACAAAGUGUUUGUUGAUUAGACAAUGCAUUUUUAUAUACGUGCAAUUGUUUUUGUUACUUCCUUAGAUAUGUUUGUGUACAUAUCUAGAGACGCGGUAGAGUCACGACGCCAAGUAAAAAUUAUAAGCCACCGCGUAUAUUAUAACGUGGCGCUACCGUGUAUCCUUUCCUCGUAAAACUGGAAUUCCAACCUAACCUGAAACUUCUUUCAUGAAUAUCUCAACACGCCUGUAAUAUUUUCUAAAUUUAAAGGCAUUUUUCUCAUGUAAACCGCAUAUAAGCUUUCGAAUAAAACCAAAAUCAAUAAAAUCGGUCCACGAACAACUGAGAUAUCGUAAUGUCAUGUCAUGAAUCUGUCAGAAACGGCAUUUUUCGUAUAAUUUUCCUGUCGUCAACCCUUAGCCAAUAGGAGCUAAGCAAAAGCCGAGUGUCAUUCGUCGACUCUCGAAAUCAUCCGGUUCGGCAUGGCUCGUCGGCCAUCGAGCGUCGAGAGUCGAAACAGAUGUCAUCACUCAUAACCUGCCAAGUGUCAAAAGUUUUUACAAUAUUGCAUUAUUAAUUAUAUUUAUAUCAACAAAAUGUUUUCCAUUUAGACUUUUUAUGUAGGGUUUAAUAACAAAUUACAGCCAGUGUUGUAAAGUGUUGAUCGAUCUUGAUUACAAGAUCCAUACCACCAAAGUAUUUUGAAUUUAAGUUUUUUAUGUAGAGCUUGUGGAAAUGAAGGGGGCCCACAGGAUUGGAGAUUAACAAAUUGCUGCCAGUAAAGUAAAAUGUAGAUCAAUUUUCAUUACAAGGUAAGUUGUCAAAAUCUGAAUUGUCAGGUACCUUACAGAAUAGAUCCAUACCACUAGUGUUUUUAAUUUAGACUUUUUAUGUAGAGCUUAUAGAAAUGGAAUCAUUUUCUCAUUUCAUCAUCAACAUUAAAAUUUUUUGCAGCAAGACAAAAAAUUGCAGGUAUAUAUAAUUAUUUAUAAAUUGAACGAAUAAGUGUUUAUAAUUAAUAAAUUAUAUGAAAUAUAUGUAUA